UACAACAUAGCAUUAAUGCAUCAGAUCCCAUUAGAACUCUAUAGUUAAGAGCGCUCAUGCUAGAGUAUUAUUGGGAUGGGUGACUACAUGGGAAGUCCUAGUGUUUUAC
rnacentral:rRNA from 1 species